rnacentral:rRNA from 1 species
GCUGGCGGCAGGCCUAACACAUGCAAGUCGAACGGAGUUAUAUUGUAGCUUGCUAUGGUAUAACUUAGUGGCAGACGGGUGAGUAAUGUAUAGGAAUCUACCUAGUAGUACGGAAUAAUUGUUGGAAACGGCAACUAAUACCGUAUACGCCCUACGGGGGAAAAAUUUAUUGCUAUUAGAUGAGCCUAUAUUAGAUUAGCUAGUUGGUGGAGUAAUAGCCUACCAAGGCAAUGAUCUAUAGCUGAUCUGAGAGGAUGAUCAGCCACACUGGAACUGAGAUACGGUCCAGACUCCUACGGGAGGCAGCAGUGGGGAAUAUUGGACAAUGGGCGAAAGCCUGAUCCAGCCAUGCCGCAUGAGUGAAGAAGGCCCUUGGGUUGUAAAGCUCUUUUAGUGAGGAAGAUAAUGACGGUACUCACAGAAGAAGUCCUGGCUAACUCCGUGCCAGCAGCCGCGGUAAUACGGAGAGGGCUAGCGUUAUUCGGAAUUAUUGGGCGUAAAGGGCGCGUAGGCGGAUUAGUAAGUUAAAAGUGAAAUCCCAAGGCUCAACCUUGGAAUUGCUUUUAAAACUGCUAAUCUAGAGAUUGAAAGAGGAUAGAGGAAUUCCUAGUGUAGAGGUGAAAUUCGUAAAUAUUAGGAGGAACACCAGUGGCGAAGGCGUCUAUCUGGUUCAAAUCUGACGCUGAGGCGCGAAGGCGUGGGGAGCAAACAGGAUUAGAUACCCUGGUAGUCCACGCUGUAAACGAUGAAUGUUAAAUAUGGGAAGUUUUACUUUCUGUAUUACAGCUAACGCGUUAAACAUUC